rnacentral:lncRNA from 1 species
ACUUGGUAACUUCAUUUUCCACUUAGGACCCUAUUAUCUGUUCUAGCCCUGAGUCUUUUUAAUCAUUUGCUUUUCUCAGCCUCUUGGUUAAUUGGCCCAAGGCUUUGGUUGCCCAUUUCAUAAUUCCUGAUGGUCCCACUCUGAUGGCCCAAUUUAUCCUUUCAAAUUGAGGCCACACAAGUUGUAGAACAUUGGCCACCUGACAGCUGGUAUACCUGGGUCAACUGCCCACCCCUUGUCUCAUCAGCUAUGGACAGGAGACCUAAUUCAUAUGUAAGAGUUUAUUGCCCAUUAAUAUUAAUAAAACAACAAAUGUUCAUGUAACUUUUAUGUGCUGGACAUUGUUUGUAAACACUUUAGAUGCAUUAUUACCCAUGUGAUCUUCAAAACAACCCUAAGAAGUAGGUUCUAUUACCACCACCACCAUUUUACUGUUAGGCAAAAUAAAUCAGAGAGAGGCAAGUGAACUGUCUAAGACCUUACAGCUAUUACAAGGCAGAGCCAGGAUUCAAUCUCAAGUAAUCUGUGCUCUCACCUGCCACCUUAGUCUGCCUUGGUGUAGAUUUGCUUAGAAGUGUCUUGGGAGAUAGGGGGUGGGGCAUGGGGACAGGGAAUAUGACCAGACAAUAAUCAGCACCUCUUGUUCCCCAAGGCAUCAUGCCAGUUUCUACCUUUUCACCUUUACAUAUGGUGUUCUUUCCACUUGGAAUUAUUUUCUGUCUCUCUCUCUAAAUAUAUAAACAUUUGGAAAUGAAUGAGCAAACACAUUAGCUGUAUAGCCUUGAGCUCAUCAUUUCACCUCUCUGGGUCUCAGGUUCUUCAUCUAUAAAAUGAAGGGGUGGAACCGGAUUCUUCAAAUUCUACAAUUGUGUAACUUUAAGGAAAGAACAAAGGCAACUCAGAAAUCAAAGAAGGAGAGAAGAAAGGAAAAGAACUUUAGUAAAUAAUCCAGUAAUUAAUCACUAGUGCUGAUAGCCACUCCAGGUUGAAGUAACACUCUUUGGAAACACCAUAUCAAGGGGCCAGGGAUAUGGUUGGCACAUAUUUCAAAAGAUGGCAUCUAAGAGGUCUCAUCCAACUAGGCAAGCUCUGGGUUAGGAGGCAGAUCAAGGUAAGUGAGAAUUGACUUCAGUUCUCUUUCUUUGACUCUCUUCCUGCAUACAGGCCUACUUAGCCUGUUUUCCCAGCUCCUUCUCCCUCCCAUCCUCUCACUGCUCUUCCCUGCAGCCCUUCACCCCCAUCUUUUCUGACCAAUCUGGAUCAAAGUCCUCCCCUAGGGCCCCAUGGCAGGCCUCCAUCUCCAAUAUUUCCUUCUAAGGCUUUUCCCUACAGCCUCACCUAACAUACCUCUAACCGUAUCAUUCCUUGGCAAAACUUUCCAGUGGGAAAAUCUCUUUCUACCUCUUCUUCAGGCCCAGAAACUAAGGACAGGGUUUGGAUGCAUUUAGCUCACUACCGCCACUUCUAGCUCUUUGGGCCUUCCCUGUCCCCCAACAAAUUUUCUUCUAAAAGGUCCAUGUGACUGAUUUAUAAUUUAUCCCCAGUUGUACCUUUUAUUUUCUACACUUGUAGUUCAUUCAUUCAUUCAGUAAGUAUUUAUUAAAUACCUACCACAUGCCAGGCUCAGCCUUUCUUCCUAGUUCUUCUCUUGUUUUCAUCCCCAUGACUUCAGCCUCCAAGGGCAAGACUCUAAAAGUAGUUUCACCUGGGCUGCUCCACCAGCCAUUUCUCCAUUUCUCCAUUUUGGCUACAGGUGGGCUAUAAUAAUGGUCUCACUGUCCUUCAGAAAUCUUUCAAAUGACCACAGCAACACCAUCUUUCUUUUCUUCCUUUCUCUCACAACAGCUGCACCUGUACCCUCAAUCUUAUCCUUAACCCUGAGCCCAUCUCUGUUCUCUUGUCUUCUUACCCAGCUUGAUCAAUGCUUCUCUCUGUCUUAUCUACUUACUUAUUCAUCUCUGCUUCUGCUAUGGCACCUAGAACAAGGUCUUCCAUCCAUCUAAUAGGUACUUAGUAAAUAUUUGUUUAAUUGAACUGAAUUGAAUAAAAUUGGAAAAAGAAGUUCAAUAAUAGGCACAGUGAGUGGAAUACCAAGUCUGAAACAUGGCAUC